rnacentral:rRNA from 1 species
GCUUACGGGCCACACCACCCUGAGCGCGCCCGAUCUCGUCUGAUCUCGGAAGCUAAGCAGGGUCGGGCCUGGUUAGUACUUGGAUGGGAGACCGCCUGGGAAUACCAGGUGCCGUAAGCU